AGUGAACGCUGGCGGUAGGCCUAACACAUGCAAGUCGAACGGCAGCACAGUAAGAGCUUGCUCUUACGGGUGGCGAGUGGCGGACGGGUGAGGAAUACAUCGGAAUCUACUUUUUCGUGGGGGAUAACGUAGGGAAACUUACGCUAAUACCGCAUACGACCUACGGGUGAAAGCAGGGGAUCUUCGGACCUUGCGCGAUUGAAUGAGCCGAUGUCGGAUUAGCUAGUUGGCGGGGUAAAGGCCCACCAAGGCGACGAUCCGUAGCUGGUCUGAGAGGAUGAUCGGCCACACUGGAACUGAGACACGGUCCAGACUCCUACGGGAGGCCGCAGUGGGGAAUAUUGGACAAUGGGCGCAAGCCUGGUCCAGCCAUACCGCGUGGGUGAAGAAGGCCUUCGGGUUGUAAAGCCCUUUUGUUGGGAAAGAAAAGCAGCAGGUUAAUACCCCGCUGUUCUGACGGUACCCAAAGAAUAAGCACCGGCUAACUUCGUG
rnacentral:rRNA from 1 species